rnacentral:lncRNA from 1 species
CAAUUAUCAGCUUAAGGCAAAGUUGCUGGAAUGGUUACAGGCAGCCAGUUGCUUUGUGGGAAUCUGAUAUGCACCUGGCAAGCACAGGGAGCAGUGCGCCGUUGCUUGUAGUGUUCUGCCCGCCCAAGGGACCAUCGUCGCAGGUCAAGUUCUUUGUGGGUUUCCAGAAACAGUUCAGGUGCCACUCUCUGGCUGCCCCAGCACUGCCAAAGGUGACGUGAACUUUUUUUUAAAUACCUCCACAGAGAAUUUUUACGGCUGCACUGAGCUCCAAAGGUUGGAGCAGAGAAAUAUGAACCCAUGACCUCCGCAGCUGAAACCCUGGGACUCCACAGGAGCUCUGCAGUUUGUUUACUCUGAGGCAGGAUUUGCUGCCAGGUUUGAACCCCCAAGACUUCUUACUGCUGCACCUUGACGGUCUCCCUGUUGGACACACUGCAUUCUAUUCAUAUUUGACAACUGCUCCACGCAGAAUAACUAGGUGUGAUCGUGGAGUCCAGCAAUGGAAAUCAUUUACCUGUUGGGUAAUGGUCUCAUUUUUCUGCAGAAUCCAGACCACUGGCUUUACUGAAGUUAUGAUGGACAGAGAACGAGGAAGCUCGCUUUGUGAAGAAAUCUAAUGGCCGCUGUUCCCUCUUCAUGUCACUUCACUGACUUCUGGGCAACCGCAGCAGCACUGAAGCCCACUCCAAUGGGAGUCUUCUAAGCAGUGUAAAAUACAACACCUGGACAUUAUGAUGGAAGAUCAAUGACCUGUUGCAGAUUAUGCCGGCUACUGUGAUCCCAAUGGCUUUCCUGUGCUCAUCCUCACUGUGACUGGCUGGAAAUGUCAGCAAACCACAUGGAAUGGUUGCAAAUCACUCUGUCCUCAAAGACUGAGAACAACUGCAGCUUGUAAAAUGCAACAAUAAGGACACCAUUGGUAUCUGUUCCAGCUCGUUCAUAUGUCAACAACGACAUCACACAGGAAGAUGUCCUGAACGCCUAGCAAAAGGUUUCCAUAUAGUUUUGGGGAGGAAUGUGGCUUUUCAGAAAACUGUGAGUUCACGUUCAUCUGGACCCUGUCACUGCCGAGGAUGUGGGAAGUUUAAAACCUGCUGCGUACAGAUAAGGGAGACAUUACAGUGUGCUCUAUUACUUACUGACCUGCCUGGAAAUCCCUCAGCAAAAGAAAUGAAGUUGUGCCCUGCUACCCUCAUACACCCAAUUUGUGUGUGGCCCAGUUUCUGACUACUCAUAAAGUAGCCUCUGUUUUAGAGGAUCCAACUUCUCAGUCUCUCCAUGGGCAAAGCCAGGAUUUUUUUGGGUUUGCGCCUGCUGCUGUCUUUGGGAUCUGCCUUACUGCUCCUUCUUGAAUUAGAAAGUAUGCACUACUGGCAGCUAGAAGCACAGUCUCCUCUCUCCACAUAAGGCCAAAGACUCAUUUCUUCUCUUCUAGUUUAAAUAAAG